rnacentral:rRNA from 1 species
AUUGAACGCUGGCGGCAGGCCUAACACAUGCAAGUCGAACGAGUGGCGGACGGGUGAGUAAUGUCUGGGAAACUGCCUGAUGGAGGGGGAUAACUACUGGAAACGGUAGCUAAUACCGCAUACCUUCCGAUGUGCCCAGAUGGGAUUAGCUAGUUGGUGGGGUAACGGCUCACCCAGGCGACGAUCCCUAGCUGGUCUGCAAGGAUGACCAGCCACACUGGAACUGAGACACGGUCAAGACUCCUAAGGGAGGAAGCAGUGGGGAAUAUUGCACAAUGGGGGCAAGCCUGAUGCAGCCAUGCCGCGUGUAUGAAGAAGGCCUUCGGGUGGUAAAGUACUUUCAGCGGGGAGGCGUUACCCGCAGAAGAAGCAACGGCUAACUCCGUGCCAGCAGCCGCGGUAAUUC